GACAGAGGGUGCAAACGUUGUUCGGAAUUACUGGGCGUAAAGCGAGUGUAGGCGGUCUGCUAAGUCGGGUGUGAAAGCCCUGGGCUCAACCCAGGAAGUGCACUCGAAACUGGCAGGCUAGAGUACUGGAGAGGUUGGUGGAAUUCUCGGUGUAGAGGUGAAAUGCGUAGAUAUCUGGAGGAACACCCGUGGUGCAGACGGCUUGCUGGACCGUGACUGACGCUGAGGCACGAAAGCGUGGGUAGCAAACAGG
rnacentral:rRNA from 1 species